rnacentral:rRNA from 1 species
AAGGGCACCACAAGAACGCGUGGAGCAUGUGGCUUAAUUUGACCCAACGCGGGAAAUCUUACCGGGUCCGGACACACUGAGGAUUGACAGAUAACAUCAUAUAUUCACUAUACUCGUAUAGUUGAAUAUAUGUAUAAAUAUGCUAGUUCUUUCAUGAUUAUGUGAUAGGUGGUGCAUGGCCGUUCUUAGUUCGUGGAGUGAUCUGUCUGCUUAAUUGCGUUUCACUAUACGGGUCUAUUUAUACAAUCAUACAAUUACAUAUUGACCGCAUGCUCUGCGUGCCGCGUCUUUUGUAUUGUUGAUUAUUAGACCCUGAGAGCAACGAACGUGGCCG